GAUGAACGCUGGCGGCGUGCCUAAUACAUGCAAGUCGAACGAAACUUCUUUAUCACCGAGUGCUUGCACUCACCGAUAAAGAGUUGAGUGGCGAACGGGUGAGUAACACGUGGGCAACCUGCCCAAAAGAGGGGGAUAACACUUGGAAACAGGUGCUAAUACCGCAUAACCAUAGUUACCGCAUGGUAACUAUGUAAAAGGUGGCUAUACUACCGCUUUUGGAUGGGCCCGCGGCGCAUUAGCUAGUUGGUAGGGUAAAGGCUUACCAAGGCAAUGAUGCGUAGCCGAAGUGAGAGGGUGAUCGGCCACAUUGGGACUGAGACACGGCCCAAACUCCUACGGGAGGCAGCAGUAGGGAAUCUUCCGCAAUGGGCGAAAGCCUGAUGGAGCAACGCCGCGUGGGUGAAGAAGGUCUUCGGAUCGUAAAACCCUGUUGUUAGAGAAGAAAGUGCGUGAGAGUAACUGUUCACGUUUCGACGGUAUCUAACCAGAAAGCCACGGCUAACUACGUG
rnacentral:rRNA from 1 species